UACGUAGGGGCAAGCGUUGUCCGGAAUUAUUGGGCGUAAAGAGCUCGUAGGCGGCCUGUUGCGUCCGCUGUGAAAUCCCGGGGCUCAACCCCGGGCCUGCAGUGGAUACGGGCUGGCUAGAGGCAGGCAGGGGAGAACGGAAUUCCUGGUGUAGCGGUGAAAUGCGCAGAUAUCAGGAGGAACACCGGUGGCGAAGGCGGUUCUCUGGGCCUGUACUGACGCUGAGGAGCGAAAGCGUGGGGAGCAAACAGG
rnacentral:rRNA from 1 species